rnacentral:rRNA from 1 species
CGGAUGUUAGCGGCGGACGGGUGAGUAACACGUGGGUAACCUGCCUGUAAGACUGGGAUAACUCCGGGAAACCGGAGCUAAUACCGGAUAGUUCCUUGAACCGCAUGGUUCAAGGAUGAAAGACGGUUUCGGCUGUCACUUACAGAUGGACCCGCGGCGCAUUAGCUAGUUGGUGGGGUAAUGGCUCACCAAGGCGACGAUGCGUAGCCGACCUGAGAGGGUGAUCGGCCACACUGGGACUGAGACACGGCCCAGACUCCUACGGGAGGCAGCAGUAGGGAAUCUUCCGCAAUGGACGAAAGUCUGACGGAGCAACGCCGCGUGAGUGAUGAAGGUUUUCGGAUCGUAAAGCUCUGUUGUUAGGGAAGAACAAGUGCGAGAGUAACUGCUCGCACCUUGACGGUACCUAACCAGAAAGCCACGGCUAACUACGUGCCAGCAGCCGCGGUAAUACGUAGGUGGCAAGCGUUGUCCGGAAUUAUUGGGCGUAAAGGGCUCGCAGGCGGUUUCUUAAGUCUGAUGUGAAAGCCCCCGGCUCAACCGGGGAGGGUCAUUGGAAACUGGGAAACUUGAGUGCAGAAGAGGAGAGUGGAAUUCCACGUGUAGCGGUGAAAUGCGUAGAGAUGUGGAGGAACACCAGUGGCGAAGGCGACUCUCUGGUCUGUAACUGACGCUGAGGAGCGAAAGCGUGGGGAGCGAACAGGAUUAGAUACCCUGGUAGUCCACGCCGUAAACGAUGAGUGCUAAGUGUUAGGGGGGUUUCCGCCCCUUAGUGCUGCAGCUAACGCAUGCCUGGGGAGUACGGUCGCAAGACUGAAACUCAAAGGAAUUGACGGGGGCCCGCACAAGCGGUGGAGCAUGUGGUUUAAUUCGAAGCAACGCGAAGAACCUUACCAGGUCUUGACAUCCUCUGACAACCCUAGAGAUAGGGCUUUCCCUUCGGGGACAGAGUGACAGGUGGUGCAUGGUUGUCGUCAGCUCGUGUCGUGAGAUGUUGGGUUAAGUCCCGCAACGAGCGCAACCCUUGAUCUUAGUUGCCAGCAUUCAGUUGGGCACUCUAAGGUGACUGCCGGUGACAAACCGGAGGAAGGUGGGGAUGACGUCAAAUCAUCAUGCCCCUUAUGACCUGGGCUACACACGUGCUACAAUGGACAGAACAAAGGGCUGCAAGACCGCAAGGUUUAGCCAAUCCCAUAAAUCUGUUCUACAAGUUGCGGAUCGCAGUCUGCAACUCG